AUUUUCUCGUUGUGAGACAAAGAUGCUCCGAAUUGGAUUUGUCAAACCUGAGAUUAUCAGCUGGGCACCACGAAUCAUUGUCCUGCAUAAUUUCUUAAGUUCGGAGGAAUGUGAUUAUCUUAUAGCAAUUUCCAAGCCUCGGCUCAAGCGUUCUACGGUACAUGUAGUGAAAACAGGC